rnacentral:rRNA from 1 species
UACGGGGGGGGCAAGCGUUGUUCGGAAUUACUGGGCGUAAAGGGUUCGUAGGCGGCCAACUAAGUCAGACGUGAAAUCCCCAGGCUCAACCUGGGAACUGCGUCUGAUACUGGAUGGCUUGAAUUCGGGAGAGGGAUGCAGAAUUCCAGGUGUAGCGGUGAAAUGCGUAGAUAUCUGGAGGAAUACCGGUGGCGAAGGCGGCAUCCUGGACCGACAUUGACGCUGAGGAGCGAAAGCUAGGGGAGCAAACGGG